GCUCAAAGCCCAUGGAAAGGCCCAUAAUUAAUCUGCCCUGACCACCGGUCAGCCUCCGAGACCAUUCACGUCGGCGGGAAAGAGUUAGUUUGCGAUGGGAGAACACGAAGCGCGCGGCUGGAUCCGCUGCGACGAAACCGCGAAGCAGAUGCUAUCAAGAGUUCUCGGAGACCGCGCGUUCCUACUUCUUCCGCCACUCCACCGCGUGCCUCUACGCGCCGGGAACGUAGUCGAGAUCACUGGCUCGUCUCCGACUGCGAAAACUCAGAUCCUGAUUCAAGCCGCCAUCACUUGCAUUCUCCCGAAGACGUGGAACGGCGUCCACUACGGAGGAUUGGAGAAACUGGUGUUGUUUCUCGAUCUGGAUUGCCGAUUCGAUGUGCUGCGUUUAUCUGACAUGCUCAAGCAUCGUCUUCUCGAAGCUUACCGGAUAGGUAAUGGAGCAUGGUGGCAACUUGAAGAGUCUAAUGUUAAGACUCAAGACAAGUCAAAGAUUGUUUAUGAUGAGGAGUUGUAUGUUUCGUGCAUGAAGAGGUUCUUGUAUCUUCGCUGCUAUGAUAGUCUCGAGCUUUUGUCCACUCUCAAGACAUUGCAUUAUCGGAUCAGACCGCAGGAAGCAUGUGGAAGCCAAGUAGGAGUGCUUAUGAUUGAUAGCAUCGGCGCUUUCCACUGGACUGAUCGUCUAUCGUCAUCACUGGCAUUGGAUAAAAACAACAGGAAAAGUCUCUCCCUUACGAAUGUGGUGGAGACGAUAGUGCAAGAGAUGAAGAAGCUAAUGCAGGUGCAUUCACUGGUGGUAAUUGCCACUAAAGCUACAAUCUACGAAGAGAAGUACCCUACAAAUGAGAAUAAUGGGAAGCUCUCCUCAAACAAUGCCAUGCCAGGGAAUGCUUCAAGUAAAGCUCAGCAGCCUCCGUUCCGUGAAUUCAUGCCUUCCUCUUGGCAGGCAUUCGUGACACAUAAGAUAUUCAUGCGGAAGUCAGGUGAUUAUCAGUCUUCAGGACAACAAAGUUUGUCAGCAUAUUCACUUGAAUGGUUACAACCACAACUUAGUAGCAUUGACCGAUUCAUAGUAGACGAUGUAAGUAAACUCAACCAUUUCAUGUCUUGUAAGACCAUUUUACUUAGGCCCGGGCAUUUUACCCGUACCGAAGAUCCGACCCGAAAAAUCUUGACCCGAUCCGAAAUCGAUCCGAUCCUUUUACCCUAUUGGGUCUUGUUGUGAAGGACCCGCGGGUCUUGGACCCGACCCGACCCGAAUCCGAGACCCGAGUGGGGUAUCCGAAAACCUGAAACUUCUAGUAUAUAUUAGGUAUUUUUUGGGUGGAUCCGACAUGACCCGAACCGAACCCGAUCCAUAACCGAACCGAAUCCGAAUCAACAAACUCUAAUAACCCUAUUGGGUCUAACUAUCUAAGACCCGAUCCGGACCCGAGAAGAUCCGAACCGAUUCCGAACCGAGAAUUUUAAAUUAUCCUAUCGGGUCCUAAACUCUUAAACCCGAAGGACCCGGACCCGCAACGACCCGAUCCAAACCCGACCGAGGACCCCAAUGCCCAUGCCUAAUUAUACUCUAAGCAAACUCAUAUUUUGUUUCCUGUUUUCUCGUGCAGUCUGGCAUUGUCAUUGUCUCAUGAGUUAGAGAUUCCGUUUCAGAAAUCAUAACUACUGUAAGGUAGCUAUUAGCUAAGCAGCGUGCAGCAAAGUCUCCGGAUGUAAAGUUAAUGCAGAGUUUAUUUAUUUACAUCAGAAAGAGAGAGAAAAAAAGAAGUAAACCUUUGAAAGUAACAUUGUUCCUUUUACUUGAUAAGGUUAUUCUUACAAUAUGUGGAUAACCUUGUCUUAGAUAUAAAAAGAAAAAUCACACUCGCACACAUUUUGGAUUUGAAUUGGGUUGUUAUAUCUUUCUAAUAUUAUCAAAUUCUAUUA